rnacentral:rRNA from 1 species
CGGCGGACGGGUGAGUAACGCGUGGAUAACCUACCUAUAAGACUGGGAUAACUUCGGGAAACCGGAGCUAAUACCGGAUAAUAUAUUGAACCGCAUGGUUCAAUAGUGAAAGACGGUUUUGCUGUCACUUAUAGAUGGAUCCGCGCCGCAUUAGCUAGUUGGUAAGGUAACGGCUUACCAAGGCAACGAUGCGUAGCCGACCUGAGAGGGUGAUCGACCACACUGGAACUGAGACACGGUCCAG